AAUAUUUAAUCUCUCGCCUUUUUAAAGCUUAAUAGUGGAUAAUAGGGGGGCAGUAUCAAGGGAUAAUUUGGGUCCCCACAGUACCAAAGCAUUUAGAAACCUCUGUUUAAUUUAAGGAAUGAGAUAAGUUACUGCUUUUCUAGACUUCCUAGCAUGGGCUGUUGUGCUGGAGAGAACGAGAGCUACGAAGAGACUACAGUGCCUCUGACUUUUUCAUAGGACAGUUGGCCGAGGAAGACAAACAUAAAGAUGAAGUGCUUAAUUCAAGGUCACACAAUGUCGGGGAUGGACCUCCAGAUUUCCUUACUGACCUGCAUUAUCUUGUGGAUACCUGAGUGAAUUCCACACCACCCAUUUUAUAGAUGAAACCACUGAGACAUGGAGCAAUUGACUGAGUAGUCACUGCCCCACCCCUGCCUGGAGCCUCACACAUGACUCGCCUCCUCUCAGUGACCACAGGUGAGACGUGGUCUUGUAACACAGUGGUUAAGAAUGUGACUUUGGAGCCAGCCUGCUAGGGGCUGAAUUCUGACUCAGCCAUUUACUAACUGUGUGACCUUAGGUAAGUCA
rnacentral:lncRNA from 10 species